rnacentral:rRNA from 1 species
AGAGUUUGAUUAUGGCUCAGGACGAACGCUGGCGGCGUGCCUAAUACAUGCAAGUCGAACGCACUCUCGUUUAGAUUGAAGGAGCUUGCUCCUGAUUGAUAAACAUUUGAGUGAGUGGCGGACGGGUGAGUAACACGUGGGUAACCUGCCCUAAAGUGGGGGAUAACAUUUGGAAACAGAUGCUAAUACCGCAUAAAACCUAGCACCGCAUGGUGCAGGGUUGAAAGAUGGUUUCGGCUAUCACUUUAGGAUGGACCCGCGGUGCAUUAGUUAGUUGGUGAGGUAAAGGCUCACCAAGACCGUGAUGCAUAGCCGACCUGAGAGGGUAAUCGGCCACACUGGGACUGAGACACGGCCCAGACUCCUACGGGAGGCGGCAGUAGGGAAUCUUCCACAAUGGACGAAAGUCUGAUGGAGCAACGCCGCGUGAGUGAAGAAGGUUUUCGGAUCGUAAAACUCUGUCGUUGGAGAAGAAUGUAUCUGAUAGUAACUGAUCAGGUAGUGACGGUAUCCAACCAGAAAGCCACGGCUAACUACGUGCCAGCAGCCGCGGUAAUACGUAGGUGGCAAGCGUUGUCCGGAUUUAUUGGGCGUAAAGCGAGCGCAGGCGGUUUCUUAAGUCUGAUGUGAAAGCCUUCGGCUCAACCGAAGAAGUGCAUCGGAAACUGGGAAACUUGAGUGCAGAAGAGGACAGUGGAACUCCMUGUGUAGCGGUG